rnacentral:rRNA from 1 species
UCGAGAAUCUUCGGCAAUGGGGGCAACCCUGACCGAGCGACGCCGCGUGCGAGAUGAAGGCCUUCGGGUUGUAAAUCGCUGUCAGUGGGGAGGAAAUGCUGGUGGGUUCUCCCAUCAGUUUGACCUAUCCGCAGAGGAAGGACGGGCUAAGUUCGUGCCAGCAGCCGCGGUAAGACGAACCGUCCAAACGUUAUUCGGAAUCACUGGGCUUAAAGGGUGCGUAGGCGGCUCGAAAAGUUGGGUGUGAAAGCCCUCGGCUCAACCGAGGAACUGCGCCCAAAACUGUCGGGCUCGAGGAAGACAGAGGUGAGCGGAACUUAGGGUGGAGCGGUGAAAUGCGUUGAUAUCCUAAGGAACACCAGUAGCGAAAGCGGCUCACUGGGUCUUUUCUGACGCUGAUGCACGAAAGCUAGGGGAGCGAAGA